AAAGAGCUGGGACAGAGCCUGGAGUCAUUCCAACACUGAGACCAGACAAGGAAUGAGAAAGGUGCAAAAAAGCCUGGGGCAAUGCAGCCAGUGAGCUCAGAGGAAGAGAAGAGGCAGUGGUGCCCUGGACCCUGGGAGAGGAGAGGGUGUGCAGCAGGAGGGAGUGGUCAAUCAUAUCCAGCGCUUUUGAAAAGUUGAGUAAGAUGAACACACAGAAGUGACCAUUGCAUUGGGCAAGGGAGGUUGUUCAUGACCUUGAAACGAGCAGAGUCAGGGCAAGGAGAGAAGGCAGGCCUGACUGACAUCAUCAGCUGAGCUAAGGAUAGGAGGUGCAGGAAUGGAGCAGUGCCUAUACACAGCUGCUCGGGGAGCUGUGCUGUGAAAGGGUUGAGAAAUGGGAUUGUGUACAGAGGAAGGUACGAUGUCAAAGGUUUUUUUCAUUUUUGAUUCUUUGGGCUUUUUUGUUUUGUUUUGACAGGAAGCACCAGAACAUGUCUGACUGCUCAUGGACGUGAUCCAGGAGGGAGGGAGGAAUGAAUCAGAUUGUGUUUACCUGUUAAUAACGCUCUUUGGGGUUCCCGAGAGAGGCAGCCAGGGAAAUGGGGAACGUGCAGAAAACCACAACCUCAAAACCUCUGGCAUUGUGCAAUCAAGAUGAAGCCACUCAAGCUGCCCGGAAGCAGUCAUUUCGCCGACCCCCCCUGGAGAAAAGCUGCCAACCAACUUGUUUAGCAAUCUAAGAGAACACAAGUUAGAGCUGCUGUUCCAGAGAGUACUGUAUUGAAGCCGGGAACUCAGAGCUUUAACUGCAUGGGAUGUUAUUUUUGAUCAUUGGACCUCACUGUUGAAACAGAAACUUAAUAUCUGAAAGCCAAUUAACAUGCCUGGCCCUGAAAACUCCGGUCUAACCAUAAGUGGAAAAUGGAAUUCCAUUUUGUAGUGAGUUUUUAAAAUCUACAUUGUUUCUCCCAAUGAGCCUCUCAUAAUAUGCAUG